rnacentral:lncRNA from 11 species
CCUGUUUAACUCUCGCAGAACCAUCAGAAACCAGAGAAGCCUCUUUAAAAAUGUGUGGAUAUUUAUAUGGUGGGAAUGCAGCAUUCCAGUGUCAGACUGGCCCCCAAAUCCGUCAUGAUUAGCAGCUUAAGGCACAAGUCAUGCCCAGUUCUAAUUUGCUUGUUAAUAGUGGGAAAUGGAUUCAGAGGUAAUAGCUUUUGUUAAAACGCUACUUGCAAUGUGAACUAGCCAUGGAAGCGAAUGCACAGUAAAAGAGUGGUGCCCACAGACAAAACAAAGUAGUGCAACUGGUUCCUUCAAUGCCAAAUCGAGGGAGAAAAAGCUCUCUCUGCACUGUUUAUUCUCUUCCAUCUUCCCAUUCUUUUAAAAGUAUUUUAAUACAUCAUUUAAUACUUCUGUUCAAGGCCAAAAGCAAUCCUUUCAAAGCAAUUCACUAAAGGAAAUCAGCAUCAAACAGGUGAAAAGUCUAAGGAAACGUACACAAUAAUUCUCACCUAAAAUAAUAAUCAGUAGUAAAAUAGUAAAAAGAAAAAAGAAAAGAAGAUUAAAAUUGCAGCUUGAAAGCCCCAAGCAGUAACCUUAUUUGCCAAAAUCAGAUAUAAACAUUCAGGUCUUUUGAGCCCGGUUAUAAUGGAUCAACAAGGGAGCUAAGUGUAUCUUUGCCUUGAAUUCUGCUUGAAACGACAGGAUGAUAUAAUGAAGAAAUCAAGUGAAAGGAUGCACUGGGAAAUGUUUAGACAUAAAAGGAGGAUGAAACAUUUCUGUGAAUAAAUGGUAUAUGUUUUGUUUUGUUUUUUUUUUUUGUUAAGU